UAACGCGUGAGUAACCUGCCUUUCAGAGGGGGAUAACGUUCUGAAAAGAACGCUAAUACCGCAUAAGAUUGUAGCUUCGCAUGGAGCAGCAAUCAAAGGAGCAAUCCGCUGAAAGAUGGACUCGCGUCCGAUUAGAUAGUUGGCGGGGUAACGGCCCACCAAGUCGACGAUCGGUAGCCGGACUGAGAGGUUGAUCGGCCACAUUGGGACUGAGACACGGCCCAG
rnacentral:rRNA from 1 species